UCGAACUAAAGUGCACAUACCUAAGAUGUAGGUAAUCAUCGAUUACCUAAAGUUAGGUAAUGGUGGUAAACAAGAAUUAUCGUUAAAAAUUACCGAUUUCCGGACGUUACUUUUUACCGUAAAAUAGAAAAGGAUAAAUAUGGGAGCUAGAAAAGAGAUACACAUGAAUGCGGGACUAUCUGGGGGUACAGUCUCAGGAAGGAUAUGCACCAUUAUUUGUCUCAGGAAGUUUUCGCAGUGUUCGUAUCCGAUCCGGGUGGUACAACGGAAGUGCAGCGAAUCAAGCAAUAUGCAAAACACUUGGCGAGCGAUGGUGCGCAGCUGAGGAUAAAGGGAUGUAUCCACGAACCGAGUGUUGGGGCAUCAAAUUGUUGAUUCACUGUAAUCUGAAGAAAUGUUAAAUAAAUGUAAUAAAAAUCAAUGAA